rnacentral:rRNA from 1 species
UACGGGGGGGGGCAAGCGUUGUCCGGAAUUAUUGGGCGUAAAGAGCUCGUAGGCGGUCUGUCGCGUCGGAUGUGAAAAAUCCAGGGCUCAACCCUGGACCUGCAUUCGAUACGGGCAGACUAGAGUUCGGUAGGGGGAGACUGGAAUUCCUGGUGUAGCGGUGAAAUGCGCAGAUAUCAGGAAGAACACCCGUGGCGAAAAGCGGCUCUCUGGAACGGUACUGACGCUGAGACGCGAAAAGCGUGGGGGAGCGAACAGG